rnacentral:rRNA from 1 species
GGGUUGUAUUUAUUAGAUAAAGAACCAAUAUUUUUGGUGACUCAUAAUAACUUUACGGAUCACAUUAUGUGACAUAUCAUUCAAGUUUCUGACCUAUCAGCUUUAGACGGUAGGGUAUUGGCCUACCGUGGCUAUGACGGGUAACGGGGAAUUAGGGUUCGAUUCCGGAGAGGGAGCCUGAGAAACGGCUACCACAUCUAAGGAAGGCAGCAGGCGCGCAAAUUACCCAAUCCUAAUACAGGGAGGUAGUGACAAGAAAUAACAAUACAGGACCUUACGGUUUUGUAAUUGGAAUGAGUUAAGUAUAAACCCCUUAACAAGUAUCAAUUGGAGGGCAAGUCUGGUGCCAGCAGCCGCGGUAAUUCCAGCUCCAAUAGCGUAUAUUAAAGUUGUUGCAGUUAAAAAGCUCGUAGUUAAUUUUCUGUUAAUUUUUAUAUACAAUACUACGGUAUUUAUAUAAUAUUAACAUAAUUCAUAUUACUUUUUAGUAUAUGAAACUUUACUUUGAGAAAAUUAGAGUGCUUAAAGCAGGCUAUUGCCUUGAAUACUCCAGCAUGGAAUAAUAUUAAGGAUUUUUAUUCUUCUUAUUGGUUCUAGAAUAAAAAUAAUGAUUAAUAGGGACAGUUGGGGGCAUUUGUAUUUAACAGUCAGAGGUGAAAUUCUUAGAUUUGUUAAAGACAAACUACUGCGAAAGCAUUUGCCAAGGAUGUUUUCAUUAAUCAAGAACGAAAGUUAGGGGAUCGAAGACGAUCAGAUACCGUCGUAGUCUUAACCAUAAACUAUGCCAACUAGAGAUUGGAGGUUGU